rnacentral:pre_miRNA from 1 species
UUUGUAACAAUCGGGUUGUUUUUCCUUUGUCAUGGUAUUAGCUACAUAGCUAAUACCACCAUGACAAAGGAAAAACAACCCGAUUGUUACAAA